rnacentral:rRNA from 1 species
CUACGGGGUGCUCCAGUGGGGAAUAUUGCACAAUGGAGGAAACUCUGAUGCAGCAACGCCGCGUGGAGGAUGACACUUUUCGGAGCGUAAACUCCUUUUAUAUAGGAAGAAGAUGACGGUACUAUAUGAAUAAGCGCCGGCUAACUCCGUGCCAGCAGCCGCGGUAAUACGGAGGGCGCAAGCGUUACUCGGAAUCACUGGGCGUAAAGAGCGUGUAGGCGGAUUAAAAAGUCAGAAGUGAAAUCCUAUAGCUUAACUAUAGAACUGCUUCUGAAACUCUUAAUCUAGAAUAUGGGAGAGGUAGAUGGAAUUUCUGGUGUAGGGGUAAAAUCCGUAGAGAUCAGAAGGAAUACCGAUUGCGAAGGCGAUCUACUAGAACAUUAUUGACGCUGAGGUGCGAAAGCGUGGGGAGCAAACAGGAUUAGAUACCCUUGUAGUC